UCGGGAAUUUUGGGCAAUGGGCGAAAGCCUGACCCAGCAACGCCGCGUGAAGGAUGAAGUAUUUCGGUAUGUAAACUUCGAAAGAAUAGGAAGAAUAAAUGACGGUACUAUUUUAAGGUCCGGCUAACUACGUGCCAGCAGCCGCGGUAAUACGUAGGGACCAAGCGUUGUUCGGAUUUACUGGGCGUAAAGGGCGCGUAGGCGGCGUAAUAAGUCACUUGUGAAAUCUCCGGGCUUAACUCGGAGCGGCCAAGUGAUACUGUUAGGCUAGAGUGCAGAAAGGGCAAUCGGAAUUCUUGGUGUAGCGGUGAAAUGCGUAGAUAUCAAGAGGAACACCUGAGGCGAAGGCGGGUUGCUAGGCUGACACUGACGCUGAGGCGCGAAAGCCAGGGGAGCAAACGGGAUUAGAUACCCACGUAGUCCCUGAGCGGGCUGGCAAGGCGCAU
rnacentral:rRNA from 1 species